rnacentral:rRNA from 1 species
UACGUAGGGUGCGAGCGUUGUCCGGAAUUAUUGGGCGUAAAGGGCUCGUAGGCGGUCUGUUGCGUCAGGAGUGAAAACUCGGGGCUUAACCCCGAGCCUGCUUCUGAUACGGGCAGACUAGAGGUAUGCAGGGGAGAACGGAAUUCCUGGUGUAGCGGUGAAAUGCGCAGAUAUCAGGAGGAACACCGGUGGCGAAGGCGGCAUCCUGGACCAACACUGACACUGAGGAGCGAAAGCCAGGGGAGCAAACGGG